UACGGAAGGCAGCAGUGGGGAAUAUUGCACAAUGGGCGCAAGCCUGAUGCAGCCAUGCCGCGUGUAUGAAGAAGGCCUUCGGGUUGUAAAGUACUUUCAGUCGUGAGGAAGGUGUUAAGGUUAAUAACCUUAGCAAUUGACGUUAGCGACAGAAGAAGCACCGGCUAACUCCGUGCCAGCAGCCGCGGUAAUACGGAGGGUGCGAGCGUUAAUCGGAAUUACUGGGCGUAAAGGGCACGCAGGCGGUUAAUUAAGUUGGAUGUGAAAUCCCCGGGCUUAACCUGGGAAUGGCAUUCAAGCUGGUUAGCUAGAGUCUUGUAGAGGGGGUAGAAUUCCGAUGUGUAGCGGUGAAAUGCGUAGAGAUGUGGAGGAAUACCGGUGGCGAAGGCGGCCCCUGGGACAAAGACUGACGCUCAUGUGCGAAAGCGUGGGGAGCAAAC
rnacentral:rRNA from 1 species